UUAUGUGGUUUCUUUCCAUAUAAUUCUGGGAUGGCUAGGGAAAUAAUGCUCGUAUCCAAAUACACAUUUAUGUUUCAGGCAGAAGCUGAGAUGCAAGACGAUGUGAUACCAAAUUAGGUCCUGUGCGAUGUAUUACUGGAGAAAUAGCCAUGCCACUGGGAUAAGUCACAGGCCAGCUGGAGAGGUAGAUGCCCAAAACAGUCAUCUUUGCUUCUUUGUGACCGAUUCUUAUGCCUGGGAAAAUGAACUGCAGUCCUGUUGUUCCUGUUUGAAGUCAAUAGGUGCUCUUACUGCACAAAAAGUCCAGUCUUGAAUGUUAUGCAACCAAAUUAGGCUUCCACCUGCCCAGUCCUCAAGAAAACCUGAACAGUUGGUGAUGAUGGGAAGAGGCCUCAUUAU